rnacentral:misc_RNA from 1 species
CCUAACCCUAACCCUAACCCUGACCCUGACCGUAACGGUAAACGUCCGUCUGCGGGAACAAUGUCACAUCCGGAUCUGUACCGUAGCGCGUUCCGGCAGCUGCACCAGUACUCUGGGAGAGUGGUUUUCGUCAUGUCCAUAAGGUGCGCGUCAGCAUGUUCAAUGGCGACCUCUUUUAUGACCUCAGCGGAGCAUGGUGAAUCGAUGAGUGCGCGAAAGGAGCUGGAAAGGUGCAACACAGGAGUCAGGGUCCCGCGCUAUGUAGGUUGAUGCCGUCCGUUGCGUGCAUUAGGCCUUUAAGUUGCCCGUCGUGGGGGCUGCUUGGGUCGCCGGACGCAGCCGUAUGUUUCGCCGUUGCGUAGAGAACUGUGAAACGCAUCCGCACACCUCUUCAGCACUCGCUGGGCAUCGACUCAAGGAAGGAUGGAAACACGGGAACGACGACAAGCGGCCUGGUGAGCUGGAGGUUCGGAGAAUCCGUUGCGACUGCUGGCAUGCCAGCGAACUCAGCUAGAAGCUUUUUAAGAAUCUGCACGGCGCCGCGGCUCCAUCGCGACAGCUCUUGUGAUUGAUGGCGAAAGGAUGACGCUUGCUGAACAGACAAACGAGCGAGAAGGCGCCGCUGCCGCUAUCCUGCCGGAGUCUCUCCAGGGGAGACGGCUGAGGAAUGGAAGGGUAGCCGUACAGCCUGCGCUCUCUGGUGAGUCCUUGGAUUGUCGCAGGGGCUUUCAGCGUAAGCGUUGUUUUCGCCACACACUGAAGUGCACCAUUUCGCACCGACGAAGGCUCUGUACGCAGAAUUUUUUUCGCCGAGUUGCCGGCCUGCUAUGGAAGCUGCCCACCCUGCCGCGCAACGGCCUACUCCAACCCCCCCACAUGAUUUUGCGGCGUGUUUUGGAUGACUAGAUUUUCGGGAGUCGUUGCAAACCUUCUUGCUAGCAGGGAUGCUUUGGGAGCGGCUACAGAUUCACUCGCCUGACUCCAUCGUCACUGCAGGCAGCUCACAUACGGGGGGAUUUUCCGGUGAUUGCUGUGAUGCCGAUGCCGUAUCGGUGACGCUGCUGCGGCCACUGUUCCGUGAGCCUUGCUGUGGAAGAGUCUCUACGUUUUGAGGGUGGAGCUUAGGCCAGCUGGAAAGGUCGACGCUGUGGAAAGGAGCAGGAUCGCAUGCGGGGAAUUUCUUCGGUGCAUGAACACCGCGCAGGUUUUCACUUUGUGAAACGAGGAGAUGCGCCUAGAAGGCUCUUCUUAAUGCUCUGCUGUGUUGCGCCAAAGGGAGUGAGCAAUACUGGUUUUUCUCCAGACGGAAGCCGCUUGACUGUCCCUGGCUGGGCAACUGAAUCCUCAGCAUGUCCGUGUCCGACUCUCCUGCACCGUAAUUUUGAAACAUGGAUUCUCCCAUAUUAACGGACACAGUGUUUCCUCCGUGAAAUUUGCACUGAUUGGACUGUUCUGUGCUGAUGUUACUUUAUUCUGAACGUGCUAUGUCGCCGCGGCGGAGACGUCUACUCCUCUUCCAGAAGGAUGCUCGUUGCGAACACCUUACGGCGUAGAAUAGAGUGCAGCAUGAGCACAGGCAUGUGCUGCUAAGCACUCGGCGUCCCUUGUGGUGCAUAUGGUGGCUCCAGCAAAUGUACUUUUUGAGCCGUUCGUGCGCUCUGGCUUUGUGCCACAACCCCUCGCUCUUUCUCCGCUUGUCGCUGCCCUAUCUAUACACACUCAAAAG